CCAAGGAGUGUANCACGUGCGCGAGUCAUUGGGUUCUACUCGAAACCUAAAGGCGCAGUGAAAGCAAGUGCAUCCUGGGCUAGACCCUGGACGUUCGAGAUGAUGGAGGUGUCCCGAUGUUGGCCCUCCCGCAGUCUCGGGGCGAUCCGUGCCGCUCUGCGGCUGAGAUCGCACCUGGAGCGCACGUGUUGGGACCCGAAAGAUGGUGAACUAUGCCUGGUCAGGACGAAGUCAGGGGAAACCCUGAUGGAAGUCCGAAGCGAUUCUGACGUGCAAAUCGAUCGUCCGAGCUGGGUAUAGGGGCGAAAGACCAAUCGAACCAUCUA
rnacentral:rRNA from 1 species